ACGAACGCUGGCGGCGUGCUUCACACAUGCAAGUCGAACGGUGAAGCGCCUUCCUUUUUGGUGGGUGUGGAUGAGUGGCGAACGGGUGAGUAACAUGUGAGUAACCUGCCCCCUUCUUCUGGAUAACCGCAUGAAAGUGUGGCUAAUACGGGAUAUUCUGGGUCUGUCGCAUGAUGGGUCUGGGAAAGAUAUUGUUUCGGUGGGGGAUGGGCUCGCGGCCUAUCAGCUUGUUGGUGGGGUGAUGGCCUACCAAGGCGGUGACGGGUAGCCGGCCUGAGAGGGUGGACGGUCACACUGGGACUGAGACACGGCCCAGACUCCUACGGGAGGCAGCAGUGGGGAAUAUUGCACAAUGGGCGCAAGCCUGAUGCAGCGACGCCGCGUGAGGGAUGGAGGCCUUCGGGUUGUGAACCUCUUUCGCCAGUGAAGCAGGCCUGCCUCGUUUGUGGGUGGGUUGACGGUAGCUGGAUAAGAAGCGCCGGCUAACUACGUG
rnacentral:rRNA from 1 species